CAUCCUACCACAAGGACAAUUGCUCAUCUAGGUUCUGUCUGUCUUGGACCUGAUUGCAUAGACUAUUCUGGCAAUAAGUCAGAGGCAGAUAUACCUGCACCUGAUUUUUGAGUGUUGGGGUUAAAGUCAUGAGACAAUACACCCAGUUUGUCCAUCUUAUUUUCUUCUCUGUAGUUAGUUAUUGUUCAUACAUUUUCUCUCAUGUGUACUCUGUACUGUUCAUCAGUUUCCUUGUCUCUAUGUUUGUUAAUAGGCAUUUCUCUUGUAAGGUGGUAUCCUAUUCAAAGGGAACAGAAAUGACAGUGGUUACCCUCCUAUUCAGUUUCCUUCUAAAGUGACUUGGUGGUUACAUUAUAAUAUGUAUGUCAGGAAAUAAGUAUGAGGAGCACCAGAAUUGUAUGAAUAUACUGUCAAAGAAGUAUACAUUUGUAAUAUUCUCAGUACCAUGCUUUCUGCUGUACAUAUGUAUGGGAUCUUUUAGAAUGCAGUGACCUAUGAUGAUGUGCAUAUCAACUUCACUUGGGAAGAGUGGACUUUGCUGGACCCUUCCCAGAAGAAUCUCUACAAAGAUGUGAUGAUUGAGACCUACAGGAACCUCACUAUUAUAGGAUACAAUUGGGAAAAUCAUAAUAUUGAAGAACAUUUUCAAAAUUCUAGAAGACAUGUGAGGCAUGAGAGAAGUCAAACUGGAGAGAAGAACCCUUUCAUAUAUACUGAAUGUGGUAAAACCGUUGUAUAUGAGAAUCAUCUUCAAAGGCAUGAAAGUGCACCUAUGAGAGAGAAACCUUUUCAAUGUAAUCAGUGUGUUAAAGCUUUUGCCCAUCACAGUAAUCUUCAAAGGCAUAAAAGAACACAUACUGGAGAGAAACUUUAUGAAUGUAAUCAAUGUGGUAAAGCCUUU